GUGGUAUAACACCACCCUGCAUACUGACAUUAAAAUGACACCUUUUGAGGCUCUGUAUGGUAUCAAACCCCCUCAGUUGCCACUAGUGCCUUACCAACAGAUCUCGAAUACUUCAAUGAAAGAGAUGUUGCAGGAAAGACAUGAGAUGGACAGAAUUCUGAAGGAGAAUCUAGCUCAAGCUAGUGCUAGGAUGAAGUUUUACACAAAUAAGAACAGGAGCGAAAGAGAAUUUCAAAUAGGAGAUUGGGUAUUCCUAAAAUUACACUCUUAUGCACAGCAAACUAUGGCCAGGAGAACCAACAAGAAGCUUUCUGCGAAGUACUAUGGCCCUUACAGAGUGAUUCAGAGAUUGGGAAAGUUGGCUUACAAACUGGAAUUACCUUCUGCAGUUCAGAUCCAUCUGGUCUUUCAUGUAUCGUUACUUAAGAAAAAAAGGGGAAGAAGAAAGUUGCAUCCUUCACAUUGCCAGCUUUUCAGCCUUGGGGACAAGUUCUUUCAAAGGGGAAGGAUGUUAUGAUGGAGGCACAAAGGGGAAAGAUCAAUUGAAAUGGAAAAGGAAAGGAUAGAGAAGUGCCAGGUCAAGGAAGAGGAAUGAAUAAGGAACUUCAACGGCUAACUGAAAUUCAAAUCCGUCCGACGUCGUUUUAUAUAGAGC
rnacentral:lncRNA from 1 species